UCACGCGGACCGGAAUAAUAUAUUAAGGGUGUUAUAGCGAAACUUUUUCAAGUUAUCAAGUUAAUAAUAUAACAAUAUUAAGAAUAUUUCCUUUGUACCAUCUUAU